rnacentral:tRNA from 2 species
GGGUGGUUAGUUCAGAGGAAGAACGCUUCCUUGACACGGAAGAGGUCACAGGUUCGAUUCCUGUACCACCCACCA